UAGGGAAUCUUCGGCAAUGGGGGGAACCCUGACCGAGCAACGCCGCGUGAGUGAAGAAGGUUUUCGGAUCGUAAAGCCCUUUUGUUAAGGAAGAACGAGUGUGAGAAUGGAAAGUUCAUACUGCGACGGUACUUAACCAGAAAGGGACGGCUAACUACGUGCCAGCAGCCGCGGUUAUACGUAGGUCCCGAGCGUUGUCCGGAUUUAUUGGGCGUAAAGCGAGCGCAGGCGGUUAGAUAAGUCUGAAGUUAAAGGCAGUGGCUCAACCAUUGUAGGCUUUGGAUGCUGGUUAAGUUGAAUGCAGAAGGGGGGAGUGGAAUUCCAUGUGUGGCGGUGAAAUGCGUAAAUAUAUGGAAGAACACCGGUGGCGAAAGCGGCUCUCUGGACUGUAAAUGGCGAUGAGGCUAGAAAGCGUGGGGAGCGAACAGG
rnacentral:rRNA from 1 species